AUGGACAUACCUACUUUCCCUGACGACAUACCCACACGGUCCUUAUUCAACAUGAAGCUGCUUCCUUCUGGUGGUUCUAGUUUUUCAGUGGUUCAGCUGAGUGCUGGGCCUGGGAUUAUGGAUGGAAGCCCUUUGCUGCAUCAGACGGCAGAAAACAGUGGUGUUGACCAAAGAUACUCCUGAAGAUACUGACAUUAAAAGAUUGAAAAAAGAAUUCUUGUUUUUGAAAACAUUUCGUUCGAUGCAUUCAUUUCGGGAUGUGACGCUUUGAUGUGGUAUAUGGUAUAUGGUAUGUGAUAUAUAGUAUAUGACAUAUGGUACAACUCCCUCAGUGAGAAAAUAACAUUUUAACAUCACACUGGACUAGAGCCAUAGCCUCAUAAAUGGAAUUUUGUUUGAUGAUAUGAAAUAUAGUUGCUUUGUUUAAAUUCCCAAGUUGAAACUAAAUAGUGUAAAGUGGUAAUCGGUAGAGUACUAUCUUCUAACAAGCAGCAUAAAAUUGGCUGUAAUAAACAAUUGUAUUCUUAAAUUGACCAAGUUCUCC